rnacentral:ncRNA from 1 species
GAGCGUUAAUAGCAAACUUGUCGAAAGGCAAGGACGCAAAGCCAAAGGGUCUAAGGUGAUUAGUAACACUAUGAUAGCCUGGUUGCCGCA